GAGCGACCGCUGGCGGCAGGCUUAACACAUGCAAGUCGAGCGCCCCGCAAGGGGAGCGGCAGACGGGCGAGUAACACGUGGGAACAUACCUUUUGGUUCGGAACAACUGAGGGAAACUUCAGCUAAUACCGGAUAAGCCCUUACGGGGAAAGAUUUAUCGCCGAAAGAUUGGCCCGCGUCUGAUUAGCUAGUUGGUGAGGUAACGGCUCACCAAGGCGACGAUCAGUAGCUGGUCUGAGAGGAUGAUCAGCCUCACUGGGACUGAGACACGGCCCAGACUCCUACGGGAUGCAGCAGUGGGGAAUAUUGGACAAUGGGGGCAACCCUGAUCCAGCCAUGCCGCGUGAGUGAUGAAGGCCUUAGGGUUGUAAAGCUCUUUUGCCCGGGAAGAUAAUGACGGUACCGGGAGAAUAAGCCCCGGCUAACUUCGUG
rnacentral:rRNA from 1 species